rnacentral:rRNA from 1 species
GAAUUUUGGACAAGGGGCGAAAGCCUGACCCAGCCAGGCCGCGCGCAGGAUGAAGGCCUGCGGGUGGUAAACUGCUGUUGUACGGAAGGAAAGGCUUUGGGUUAAUACUCUGGAGUCAUGACGGUACCGUAAGAAUAAGCACCGGCUAACUCCGUGCCAGCAGCCGCGGUAAUACGUAGGGUGCAAGCGUUAAUCGGAAUUAUUGGGCGGAAAGCGUGCGCAGGCGGUUUUGUAAGACAGGGGUGAAAUCCCCGGGCUCAACCUGGGAACUGCCUUUGUGACUGCAAGGCUAGAAUAGGGCAGAGGGGGGUGGAAUUCCGCGUGUAGCAGUGAAAUGCGUAGAUAUGCGGAGGAACACCGAUGGCGAAGGCAACCCCCUGGGCCUGUACUGACGCUCAUGCACGAAAGCGUGGGGAGCAAAC